rnacentral:lncRNA from 1 species
GGUGAUGUAGGCCUUGCCUCUUUGGUGGGAUCCCACCUCUUUUUCUUAUUGAACUUUUACACUUGUCUAAAUCAGUUAUUUAUGUUAAUCUCCUCUGGCUUACUGUAUCUUUCUUAUCACUAUAGCAUCCCAUAACCUCUCUCUCUCUCUCAUCAUCUUAUUCUUUUUUCUUCUUAUAGAAUUCUCCCUCUCUCAUCACUAAUUCUCCUUGCUUCCUCAUGCAGCUAGCCUGCAUGUUUUUAGUGGGAAACGAGAGACACACACCCCAACGGUAUCAUUUUCUGCUUCGUGGAAAUACACUUUGUUCUUAUUAUUUGUCCAUAUAAUGACUGUGACAAAAUUUGGAGGAAAAUUUGCCUAUAUAUAUCUAGGAUUCAAGAGUGCAAGACCUUAGACAACGUGCUACUUUAAGCAAUUUCUGUUAUUAUAUUUUUGGUGGAUCGUGUAAACAUGAAGACUCGACGUCUUCUUUUUUCUUUGGUAGACAAUUGUAGUGCUUCCCACCUUUCACUUUAACCAUAUAUCUUGAUUAGUUUUUGAUUUGUUUAUGGUUUCCUACAAAUGGAUUCUUACAUUAUAUGCAUGUCAGUUCUUGUCCUGCACCACUUCUCUAUUUUGUUUUUAUACGGUAAUAUAUUGUUUCUUUUUCCACUUAGCUGAUGGAAAAUCUCUGCAUAUGGAGGAAUGGAUCUCAUGCCCAAAAAAAGUUACAUUUUCCUUGUCGGAAGCGGACAUGAGCUCUUUCUGGAUUCUGCUACAACUCUACAUUGAAUAUUUG